rnacentral:rRNA from 1 species
AACGAACGCUGGCGGCAUGCCUAACACAUGUAAGUCGAACGAGACCUUCGGGUCUAGUGGCGCACGGGUGCGUAACGCGUGGGAACCUGCCCUUAGGUUCGGAAUAACUCCCCGAAAGGGGUGCUAAUACCGGAUAAUGUCUUCGGACCAAAGAUUUAUCGCCUUUGGAUGGGCCCGCGUUGGAUUAGCUAGUUGGUAGGGUAAAAGCCUACCAAGGCGACGAUCCAUAGCUGGUCUAAGAGGAUGAUCAGCCAUACUGGGACUGAGACACGGCCCAGACUCCUACGGGAGGCAGCAGUGGGGAAUAUUGGACAAUGGGCGAAAGCCUGAUCCAGCAAUGCCGCGUGAGUGAUGAAGGCCUUAGGGUUGUAAAGCUCUUUUACCCGGGAUGAUAAUGACAGUACCGGGAGAAUAAGCUCCGGCUAACUCCGUG